rnacentral:rRNA from 1 species
AUACGGAGGAUCCGAGCGUUAUCCGGAUUUAUUGGGUUUAAAGGGUGCGCAGGCGGCCAUUUAAGUCAGCGGUUAAAUCGUGGGGCUCAACCCCAUUCUGCCGUUGAUACUGGGUGGCUUGAUUGCGGUCGAGGUUGGCGGAAUUCGUUGUGUAGCGGUGAAAUGCAUAGAUAUGACGAAGAACACCGAUUGCGUAGGCAGCUGACCAGACCGCAAAUGACGCUCAUGCACGAAAGUGCGGGGAUCGAACAGGAUUAGAUACCCUGGUAGUCCGCACAGUAAACGAUGAAUGCUUGUUUUCGGCGAUAUAAUGUCGGAGGCAAAGCGAAAGCGAUAAGUAUUCCACCUGGGGAGUACGCCGGCAACGGUGAAACUCAAAUGAAUUGGCGGGG